rnacentral:lncRNA from 1 species
AAAUUAGAUUAGAAAAAAGUGGAAUAAAAAACAUAUAUAAAAUAGUAGCAUAAAAUAAUAUAAAAAACAUUAUAAUAAAACAUAAAAACCAUAUGAGAAGAGAUAUUAGAGAAGAUGAAAAAAAACAUAAGAGAUGCAAGAUUGAGAAGAAAUGUGUGAUAAAAAUGUAAUUGGAAGAUAAAACAAUAAUAUAAAAGAUGAAAAAGAAAGAACAUAAGAGAUGACAUAUUAGAGUAGAAAAGGUGAAAUAUACAUG